CAGUCGCCGCGGUAAAACGUAGGUGGCAAGCGUUGUCCGGAAUUAUUGGGCGUAAAGGGCUCGCAGGCGGUUUCUUAAGUCUGAUGUGAAAGCCCCCGGCUCAACCGGGGAGGGUCAUUGGAAACUGGGAAACUUGAGUGCAGAGAGGAGAGUGGAAUUCCACGUGUAGCGGUGAAAUGCGUAGGGAUGUGGAGGAACACCAGUGGCGAAGGCGACUCUCUGGUCUGUAACUGACGCUGAGGAGCGAAAGCGUGGGGAGCGAACGAGAUUAGAUACCCCUGUAGUCCCUGUCUCUUAUACA
rnacentral:rRNA from 1 species